GAUGAACGCUAGCGGGAGGCUUAAUACAUGCAAGUCGAACGGUAACAGCAGAGCUUGCUCUGGCUGACGAGUGGCGCACGGGUGCGUAACGCGUACAUAACAUACCUUAAAGCGGAGGAUAUCCUUUGGAAACGAAGAGCAAUACUCCAUAGUAUCAUAAUGCCACAUGGUAUAAUGAUUAAAGCUCCGGCGCUUUAAGAUUGGUGUGCGUAUGAUUAGAUAGUUGGUAGGGUAACGGCCUACCAAGUCUACGAUCAUUAGGGGGCGUGAGAGCGUGAUCCCCCACACGGGCACUGAGACACGGGCCCGACUCCUACGGGAGGCAGCAGUAAGGAAUAUUGGGCAAUGGAGGCAACUCUGACCCAGCCAUCCCGCGUGCAGGACGACUGCCCUAUGGGUUGUAAACUGCUUUUCUGAGGGAAGAAACCCCUGGAUUCAUCCAGGUCUGACGGUACCUUAGGAAUAAGCACCGGCUAACUCCG
rnacentral:rRNA from 1 species